UUGACUCACUAUGAACUCAGCUGCCAGCUGUUGCAGUUUUUAGGUGUAAUUAGAUAACAUUCUGUGCAAAAAGUAAAAAAUAUUAAACAAAACUGCACGUUAUGUGCAAAGAGCGCCUUCCUCACUCAUACAAAUGUAUUUCAGUGUGGAUCAUGCAAAAAGUAGGCCAUAAUCAAUGCAAAAUGUGUGCUGUACCACACCUAUAGGUAUAGGAGAUAAGGGUAGGCUUAGGGUUAAGGAAACCAGAAUGCAUAUAGCUUCCAAAGCAAGAGCACAUAGGUUGCACGAGAGCUGCUUUCCUAUUGGAGGAAAUCCAGCCCAUGGGCUACCAGUUGAAUAGGGCUCAAGAUGCCAUUACACCUCAGCAAAUACUGCAAAUCAUCCCUGAUGGUCAACAGCUGAUGGUCAAUGUCCCACCACAGCUUUCAAAUGUCAAGAGCAUGCAAAUAGGACUAAGCGCCUUGCUGAUCCUGAUGAAGGCUGCGAUCCUGGUGAUAGGUUGAAAACUCUGUGAUUCCCUGCCGCACAGUCAGGGGGCUUUGGUGGUUUCCACUUGAUUAAACUCCCAGCCUUGACACAUUCACUGCUUGCUUUAAUUUAAAAAGUGUUACGAGAGAAGAGAGAGAAAGGGAGCAGGAGGGGGAGAAUGUAAUAAGAAAAUAAAACACAUAAAUAAAAAACCUAAUUGACUUUGCUGAUCAUCAGUGAAACAGACAGGAUCUUAUUACUGAAACUUUAUGCUUUAAUUAUCAAAUUUAGAAGCUCCUCCUCUCACGAACAUAUAUAUUGAGGUAAAGAUUUUGAACAUAAAACUUAUCCAUGACACUCCACAGUACGGCAUAAUGAAAUGCAAAUAUUUCAAGCACACAGAUAGAUAAUCUACAAGUUCAUGUGGUAAAUAAAAUAUGUUUCUACAGUAA